rnacentral:rRNA from 1 species
GACGAACGCUGGCGGCGUGCCUAAUACAUGCAAGUCGAACGCUUUUUCUUUCACCGGAGCUUGCUCCACCGAAAGAAAAAGAGUGGCGAACGGGUGAGUAACACGUGGGUAACCUGCCCAUCAGAAGGGGAUAACACUUGGAAACAGGUGCUAAUACCGUAUAACACUAUUUUCCGCAUGGAAGAAAGUUGAUAGGCGCUUUUGCGUCACUGAUGGAUGGACCCGCGGUGCAUUAGCUAGUUGGUGAGGUAACGGCUCACCAAGGCAACGAUGCAUAGCCGACCUGAGAGGGUGAUCGGCCACACUGGGACUGAGACACGGCCCAGACUCCUACGGGAGGUAGCAGUAGGGAAUCUUCGGCAAUGGACGAAAGUCUGACCGAGCAACGCCGCGUGAGUGAAGAAGGUUUUCGGAUCGUAAAACUCUGUUGUUAGAAAAGAACAAGGAUGAGAGUAAAACGUUCAUCCCUUGACGGUAUCUAACCAGAAAGCCACGGCUAACUACGUGCCAGCCGCCGCUGUAA